rnacentral:rRNA from 1 species
CCAGACAGCCAGGAUGUUGGCUUAGAAGCAGCCAUCAUUUAAAGAAAGCGUAAUAGCUCACUGGUCGAGUCGGCCUGCGCGGAAGAUGUAACGGGGCUAAACCAUGCACCGAAGCUGCGGCAGCGACGCUUAUGCGUUGUUGGGUAGGGGAGCGUUCUGUAAGCCUGCGAAGGUGUGCUGUGAGGCAUGCUGGAGGUAUCAGAAGUGCGAAUGCUGACAUAAGUAACGAUAAAGCGGGUGAAAAGCCCGCUCGCCGGAAGACCAAGGGUUCCUGUCCAACGUUAAUCGGGGCAGGGUGAGUCGACCCCUAAGGCGAGGCCGAAAGGCGUAGUCGAUGGGAAACAGGUUAAUAUUCCUGUACUUGGUGUUACUGCGAAGGGGGGACGGAGAAGGCUAUGUUGGCCGGGCGACGGUUGUCCCGGUUUAAGCGUGUAGGCUGGUUUUCCAGGCAAAUCCGGAAAAUCAAGGCUGAGGCGUGAUGACGAGGCACUACGGUGCUGAAGCAACAAAUGCCCUGCUUCCAGGAAAAGCCUCUAAGCAUCAGGUAACAUCAAAUCGUACCCCAAACCGACACAGGUGGUCAGGUAGAGAAUACCAAGGCGCUUGAGAGAACUCGGGUGAAGGAACUAGGCAAAAUGGUGCCGUAACUUCGGGAGAAGGCACGCUGAUAUGUAGGUGAAGCGACUUGCUCGUGGAGCUGAAAUCAGUCGAAGAUACCAGCUGGCUGCAACUGUUUAUUAAAAACACAGCACUGUGCAAACACGAAAGUGGACGUAUACGGUGUGACGCCUGCCCGGUGCCGGAAGGUUAAUUGAUGGG